rnacentral:rRNA from 1 species
CAGUAGCCGCGGUAAUACGAAGGGGGCUAGCGUUGUUCGGAAUUACUGGGCGUAAAGCGCACGUAGGCGGAUAUUUAAGUCAGGGGUGAAAUCCCGCAGCUCAACUGCGGAACUGCCUUUGAUACUGGGUAUCUUGAGUAUGGAAGAGGUUAGUGGAAUUGCGAGUGUAGAGGUGAAAUUCGUAGAUAUUCGCAGGAACACCAGUGGCGAAGGCGACUAACUGGUCCAUAACUGACGCUGAGGUGCGAAAGCGUGGGGAGCAAACAGGAUUAGAUACCCCUGUAGUCCCUGUCUCUUAUAC